rnacentral:rRNA from 1 species
CCUACGGGAGGCAGCAGUGAGGAAUAUUGGUCAAUGGACGAGAGUCUGAACCAGCCAAGUAGCGUGAAGGAUGACUGCCCUAUGGGUUGUAAACUUCUGUUAUAAAGGAAUAAAACGAGGCACGUGUGCAUUUUUGCAUGUACGGUAUGAAUAAGGAUCGGCUAACUCCGUGCCAGCAGCCGCGGUAAUACGGAGGAUCCGAGCGUUAUCCGGAUUUAUUGGGUUUCCAGGGAGCGUAGAUGGGUUGUUAAGUCAGUUGUGCACGUUUGCGGCUCAACCGUAAAAUUGCAAUUGAUACUGGCAGUCUUGAGUACAGUUGCGGUAGGCGGAAUUCGUGGUGUAGCGGU